CAGGAAACCAGGUUUCCUUUGAGAGAAAUACGGUCUUGUUUAGGUCUAAGGUUUCUGUGCCAGGUUCUCAGAGGCUUUCCCCUUUGGGGGUGGAGAUCCUCUGGUCAGAGACCCCUUGAAGAAGCCCGCAGGGCCCCCUGCUGGGUGCUUUGCCUCAUUUAACUCUUACUACACCACGGGGAGAAAGACGCAAAGCCUCCGUUGCACAAAGGAGGAUGUGUCUCAGAAUGUGAGUACAUAAAUUGCUUAGGGAAUCUCUGCUAAUAAGUUUUAGAGGCACAAUUGGAAGUCGAAUCUGCCUACGUUUCCUUCACAGCCCUACAAGAUGCAGACGUGGAGUUGGUCUGACAUGCUUUUUCCAGUUUCCAGAAUGAAUUCUUUGCGCGAAGUUGCUUCUCCUCCAAUUUCCUCCAGGCCCAUUACGAGUUCCUAAGGGGUAGUGCUUGGAUAAGAACUCAGACCACAUGACAUCCAGCUCUAUCUUCAGUUCACCAUUACUCUUCCAUUUCAACCCAAGUUUUCUAUUGUAAGUAUGAAAGACCAUAUAAUAUAUCCUCUUAAAGGGGACUGUAGCAUGGGUCCUUCCAAUCUUUGUGUGAACCCUUUUAAGUGAUUUGACCUAGAGGCAAAACAUUAGUAGCUAAAUGGGAAUGUGCUUUGUGACAGAGAAUUAAGGAAAAUGUCCUUAGAAAAAUAUUGACCUUUUUGUGCACUAAUAUUAUUUAGGUUACGUGAUACUGAAUUUCAACCAUCGCAGACGUUUUUGAACAGCUACAGAGUAGUACCAUUUGUUUUUAUUUUCAAAAACCUGGUCUGGAAAGUAUGGAAGCUGUUUAUCUACUUGGUUCAUUCAUUCAUUUAGGUAUUUAUUACG
rnacentral:lncRNA from 1 species